rnacentral:rRNA from 1 species
AUUGAACGCUGGCGGCAUGCUUUACACAUGCAAGUCGAACGGGCUGGGGGCAACUCCAGUCAGUGGCGAACGGGUGAGUAAUACAUCGGAACGUACCUCGUAGUGGGGGAUAACUCGGCGAAAGCCGUGCUAAUACCGCAUAUGCUCUACGGAGGAAAGCAGGGGACCGUAACAGGCCUUGUGCUAUGGGAGCGGCCGAUGUCCGAUUAGCUAGUUGGUGAGGUAAUGGCNCACCAAGGCGACGAUCGGUAGCUGGUCUGAGAGGAUGAUCAGCCACACUGGGACUGAGACACGGCCCAGACUCCUACGGGAGGCAGCAGUGGGGAAUUUUGGACAAUGGGCGCAAGCCUGAUCCAGCCAUGCCGCGUGAGUGAUGAAGGCCUUAGGGUUGUAAAGCUC